UACGUAGGGUCCGAGCGUUGUCCGGAAUUAUUGGGCGUAAAGGGCUCGUAGGCGGUUCGUCACGUCGGGAGUGAAAACUCGGGGCUUAACCCCGAGCCUGCUUCCGAUACGGGCAGACUAGAGGUAGGCAGGGGAGAGCGGAACUCCUGGUGUAGCGGUGGAAUGCGCAGAUAUCAGGAAGAACACCGGUGGCGAAGGCGGCUCUCUGGGCCUUACCUGACGCUGAGUGCGCGAAAGCCAGGGGAGCAAACGGG
rnacentral:rRNA from 1 species